rnacentral:snoRNA from 1 species
GUGCAGCCAGUUAAGCCGAACGUGUUCUCUGUUCCGUGGGGCCCGGUGUGCAGUGGCUGCCGACAGCAGCAGCCUCCUUGGUUGUGUCCGCAGCCUGCGGCCUGUAUGGGCUGUCAUAAGGGACCUUGGGGACAGGC